UGAGCGGAACUCUCUGUAUUGCUUUUGUUUUUCACUCUCUCUCCGAGAAGACGGUAUGGAGAGAAGCCAUGUUUUCUUUGUCCUGAUUUAUGUAGAAUAUAUGCGUAGUUUAGUAUCGUGUCCACACCUCAAGUCUCAUCUGUUGUGCAGUUUACACUAAUGAGUAAUAUGUGCUCAAGCCUGCUCUGCAGCUUGAGUCACAGACGCACGUCAGGGAGGAUGACUGAUGGAUCUCCGCAGUGGCAAGGCUGAGAGGGGAGACGCUCCAGUUGGAGCCAAGCCAACUGGCUUUUCAUCCCCGGUUCUGACAGGGUCACCAACGUGCCUUCUGCCAGUACUCUAAUAAAGGUAAAGGUAAAGGACCCCUGACAAUUAAGUCCAGUCACGAAGGACUCUGGGGUCACCCCGUAAAUAUCCCCACAGAAAUCUACAAUGAAAGAAAGACUGCUUGCUCUUCCUGCUCAGUUUGAAUUUGCACUGGUUUGGCGUCUGCCACAUUGAACACACCCCAUUAAACAUCCUCACAUUUCAUUGGAUGCCACACUGAACAGAGGAGAGGUGCAAAGGAUGUUUCUCUGUAAGUACAACAGAGGUGUCCUUUUCCCAUAGCUUCCUCCAUUUUGUGGUCCUGUCUCUUUUUCAGGUCCUUCAGAUGCGGCAGCCAUUUUGUGUUAUGCCACACACUGCCCAUUACUCCCCCCCCAAAAAAACCCCAAAUGUGCCCACUGGCCCCAACACCUGGGUUAACUUUAAAAAUUCCAAGCUUCCAUGUUUUAAAUACAGUGGUACCUCGGGUUACAUACGCUUCAGGUUACAGACUCUGCUAACCCAGAAAUAGUACCUCAGGUUAAGAACUUUGCUUCAGGAUGAGAACAGAAAUCGCACGACGGCGCCACGGCGGCAGCGGGAGGCCCCAUUAGCUAAAGUGGUGCUUCAGGUUAAGAACAGUUUCAGGUUAAAAACAGACCUCCAGAACAAAUUAAGUUCUUAACCUGAGGUACCACUGUACACAAAAUAAAUACUGUAUUUCCAAAGCAAGACAACAAGCAGCAACUGCUAAAUAGUCCAUUUUUAAUUACAUGUGAGUAAAAUGGGGGCACAUACAAUAACUCUUCAUACCAGGAUAGUGAGCUGCAAAAUGUGGGGGGAAGUAUUUGGACAGAAUGCUUAUGCGUUCCAUUUUCUGCAUUUCUUUGUAUAGAAUUUUCAGGCAAGAAUAUACAGCCGAGCAAGAGAGAGCGCUUUUGUGUUUGCUUCCACUUAAUGGUUUCUUUGGCCUGUGUUCCGAAAGUCAGCUCGUGUUUCUAUUUCAAGAUGCAUGAACUUCACUAUAUAUUCAUCUGAGCAAGUAAAAACACAAUCUCCUCCAAGGGCAAGAUUACUUGUGGAUUAUAGAACAUUGACAGUUUCUUCAUUCUGUGUGUCUAGAAUACUUUCCUCUCUCUCUCUCUUUUUUCUCUCUCUGGGCCGUCAUUCUCCAUAAACAUCAGAACAACUUG